CCUGUACAAGCCCUAGGUCUGCAUACAGUUCUUCCGCCUAGCACUGAUUUCUUUAGGGUGCGCACAGACGCUCAGUACCUAACCCCCUGAGAGGCACCGGGCCUGAAGACACAGAAGACCACCCCCACGCCCCCACCCCGUGCCCUCAAGAAUCUCAUGCUUUGCUUGGAGGAGCAAGCUUAUAGAUGAAGUGAUACAGUAUGAGACACAGUAAUCAAACAGCAUAUAACGAGAUAUGGAAAUCUCAGUGAGAUAACAUACUUAUUCAUGGAGGGGUCCAGGAAGACGUUGAAAGUGAAGCAAACCUUCUAUACUCGUUUGCAACCUACUUAAGGCCUAUGAGCUUCACUUGGGCGUAAGCUCUGGGAAAAUCACCAAGUCGCACACUGUGAUGCAGAAAAGCUGUAUGCCAUUAGAUGUUAAUGACCAGACAGCCAAAAGCAAUACUUUUAAUUGUUACAAGUCAGGGAAAUGGUCACUCCUUGGGGAAGAAACAGCUGGCAUGG